GACUUCUUAAAGUCACUUUCCCCUGAUCUCGUCUGAUCUUGGAAGCUAAACAGUCUCAGCCUGGCUCGGACCUGGAUGGGAUGCCACCUGGGGACCCCGGGUGCUGCAGGCA
rnacentral:rRNA from 1 species